CUUAGGCCCGCAUUGUAAUUUGCAGAGGAUGCUUUUGGUGAGGUGCCUUCCGAGUUCCCUGGAACGGGACGCCAUAGAGGGUGAGAGCCCCGUAUGGAUGGCCACCAAACCUGUGUAAAGCUCCUUCAACGAGUCGAGUAGUUUGGGAAUGCUGCUCAAAAUGGGAGGUAAAUCUCUUCUAAAGCUAAAUACCGGCCAGAGACCGAUAGCGCACAAGUAGAGUGAUCGAAAGAUGAAAAGCACCUUGAAAAGGGGGUUAAACAGUACGUGAAAUUGUUGAAAGGGAAGCGCUUGUGACCAGACUUGCGCCGGGCGGCUCAUCAGGGGUUCUCCCCUGUGCACUCCGCCCGGCUCAGGCCAGCAUCGGUUCUCGUGGGAGGAUAAGAACGGUAGGAACGUGGCCCCCCUCCGGGGGGGUGUUAUAGCCUACCGUACGAUACUCUCGUGGGGACCGAGGUUCGCGCUCCGCAAGGAUGCUGGC
rnacentral:rRNA from 1 species